CCUUCCUACGGGGCGCAGCAGUGGGGAAUAUUGGGCAAUGGAGGCAACUCUUACCCAGCAAUGCCGCGUGAAUGAAGAAGGUCUUCGGAUUGUAAAGUUCUUUAAUUGGGGACGAAAAAAAUGACGGCACCCAAGGAAUAAGCCCCGGCUAACUACGUGCCAGCAGCCGCGGUAACACGUAGGGGGCGAGCGUUAUCCGGAAUCAUUGGGCGUAAAGGGUGCGUAGGCGGCCUUUUAAGCGCGGGGUCUAAGGCGGUGGCCCAACCACCGUUCGCCCCGCGAACUGGAGGGCUAGAGUGUCGGAG
rnacentral:rRNA from 1 species